CUGCUGACUCUAUUUCUCUUUAUAAGCAGUGUGAAUUGAUCAUAUUCACUACCCCCGGAGUGAGAUACAGCACGAAUUACGGUAACACGAAUACUACAAAGCGAGCAUUCUCCACGUUGUUCAAGGUAUGCUUUGCUUGUAUCGAGUUUGCUAAACAGGAAUACUGUAAGCGAUUGUAGAAUGCGUAUACGAGAUACCAUAAACGAACGUUACUCAUGUA